rnacentral:rRNA from 1 species
UACAGAGGUGGCAAGCGUUGUUCGGAAUUACUGGGCGUAAAGGGCGCGUAGGCGGUCUUGCAAGUCCUGUGUGAAAUCCCUCGGCUCAACUGAGGAACUGCACAGGAAACUGCUUGGCUUGAGUUCGGGAGAGGGAAGCGGAAUUCCGGGUGGUAGCGGUGAAAUGCGUAGAUAUCCGGAGGAACACCGGUGGCGAAGGCGGCUUCCUGGACCGACACUGACGCUGAGGCGCGAAAGCUAGGGGAGCAAACGGG